rnacentral:rRNA from 1 species
GACGAACGCUGGCGGCGUGCCUAAUACAUGCAAGUUGAGCGCUGAAGGUUGGUACUUGUACCAACUGGAUGAGCAGCGAACGGGUGAGUAACGCGUGGGGAAUCUGCCUUUGAGCGGGGGACAACAUUUGGAAACGAAUGCUAAUACCGCAUAAAAACUUUAAACACAAGUUUUAAGUUUGAAAGAUGCAAUUGCAUCACUCAAAGAUGAUCCCGCGUUGUAUUAGCUAGUUGGUGAGGUAAAGGCUCACCAAGGCGAUGAUACAUAGCCGACCUGAGAGGGUGAUCGGCCACCUUGGGACUGAGACACGGCCCAAACUCCUACGGGAGGCAGCAGUAGGGAAUCUUCGGCAAGGGACGAAAGUCUGACCGAGCAACGCCGCGGGAGUGAAGAAGGUUUUCGGAUCGGAAAACUCUGUUGGUAGAGAAGAACGUUGGUGAGAGUGGAAAGCUCAUCAAGUGACGGUAACUACCCAGAAAGGGACGGCUAACUACGUG